GCGCGAAAACUUUACAAUGCUGGCAACAGCGAUAAGGGAACCUCGAGUGCCAGGUUACAAAUCUGGCUGUCGAGAUGCCUAAAAAGCAUUUCAUAGCAAGGGCCGGGCAAGACCGGUGCCAGCCGCCGCGGUAACACCGGCGGCUCGAGUGGUAACCGUUAUUAUUGGGUCUAAAGGGUCUGUAGCCGGCCGGAUAAGUCUCUUGAGAAAUCUGGCAGCUUAACUGUCAGGCUUUCAGGAGAUACUGUCUGGCUCGAGGCCGGGAGAGGUGAGAGGUACUUCAGGGGUAGGGGUGAAAUCGUGUAAUGCGUAAAGGACCACCAGUGGCGAGGGCGUCACACCAGAACGGACCUGUCGGAAAGGGACGAAGGCUAGGGGCACGAACC
rnacentral:rRNA from 1 species